UCUGCAGUCCUCCAGGACUACCAAGUCCCAGAGAUUUGUUACUACUCAUUUGACAAAUUUCUUCUAAAAUCACUUCCAAUGCUACUUCAACAGCUACUUAAUCACAUUUAUAGGAAAGACAGAUUCCAGCAUAAUACUAUACCCUGAGAUGUUAUUACCUGGCCACCACAUUUCCCACCUCUUGCUCUUCUGCUGAUGCUUGCAAUGGCUGUAGCUUGGGAUGCUAAUUAGUGUGCUAAUUGUUUAUCCCAAAUGAGGGCCGUGCCUCCUACCAAGCCAGGUGAGUAAGGUAAGGCAAAUUGUCCAUGUGCUUAGGGGAGAAGCAUCCCAGUUGAUGAGCUCCACUAAGCACUCUACUUCUGUUUCUAUUGCCACCUACCCACCUGACACCCUCUCAGAGAAUUAACUACCCCCCAGCAUGUUAUUUUCCACUCUGAUUAAUACAGAGAUAAACCGGUGAUGGAAUUAGGUGAUAAUGAAGUAAGCCAGUUAGUCAGAUUGUUAAACAAUGCCUGAACCUGUUUGGGAUAGGAGAUGGUUCUCUUGUUGCCUUGUAAACACUGUGCUCGUGCUGUUCCUGUAGAGGAACCUCCAUGGGAAGCACUGUCACCGGUCUGGCGUGGGUUGGGCAAACCAACUCUUCCUGUGAGGGGUGUGUGGGAAGGAAUCAGGCACACAGGGGCUGUGGUCAGAGGGCAUUUUAGCAGUCGACCUCAGGUUUCUGAGAUGGUGAAGAUGUUGAUUCCAGGACUUGCUCUUAGAAAUCCCUUCUCCUCUCCCUAAAACUGAACAGUCACAAACCAUGCUCUGCAAGACCAAGCACUGACAAAGGAAGAGAGUUCAGAAGAGCUACAAGACGUGUUUUUCUCUUCCUCCCUCUCCCUUUCCUUCUCCAGGGAAUACCAGUGUCCAAACCUUGCAAGCUCUUGGUUUACUUUCCACACUUGUUUCUUAGCAGGUGAUGCAACCUCUAAGAGGGGACUCAUCUCCACAACUGACUCAACAGCUGAAAUCACAGUCCAGAGCUGAGGUUUCCCUGUGCUGGUCAAUACAUGAAAAUCAGCCCUGACCACAGGUAUUCUCGAUGUUCUCCGGAAACAGAGAUUUGCAUCUGUGGGAAAAAGACCCAAAUGAGCUGAAGUAGCUGUGAGAUCCCUCUGGGGACUUGGAGGGGUCAGUGUGUGACACAGUGUUGGUGCCACAGAAGGCCGGGCUCCAGCAGGUCUCAGGCUGUGGAGCCUUAGCCUUACGGAGGGACGGAUUGUAUGCCAUCCCCAGGGCGGCACUGCCAGGAGAUCCAGCUUUGCACCAAAGAAGACCAACCAUAUUACGCACGUACUCCAGCUACUGCUGGUGGUUGGUGCCAGGACAGAGCGUAUUUAUCAGCAUUGUCAUCAACCAACCCCUGAAUUCAGCCAAAAUGAAUUCACUGUAAGACUCAGUUGGGUUGGAUGUGGAGUCCAGUAAAAGGUCUUGUAAACAUUUUGCAACUGUCCAAGCAAACAGUUUUUCCCCAGCCCUGGUAUCCUGCCAAUCACAUCUGCUCAGAUUGCCCUCUCUCGUAAGAACGAGCCCAGUUUGCUUUUGGCGUCUUCUCUCUCGCACCUGGCAGCUCCAUUUGGAGAAAAGCCCUCCUGCCAUGGCCUUAUUUCUUGAAUCUCCACAGCGUGCUCUUGGAAGACAAGUCCGAUGGGAUGAAGUACUGACCCUGACUCUCCCUAUCCCAUGUGUAGGCUAGCGACAAUUUGCUGCGUGCCUGUGUAGCUGUGCUGAUGAAGGUCCCGUGGGGAGAUACAGCUGUACUGGCACAGAGCUCUGUGUUGAAUGUCCUCAGGCUGGUACAACUCCAAAGCCUGAGGAAGGAGGAAGGCUGGAGAGAGAGUAGCCUUCACAAAUAUGUUGCUCAGGAGUGCACUCUUCCAUUCAUGAACAACACAGCUGUGAUAAACUGAGUAUAGGGCGGGCAUUAGAGGGAAACCAGACAUGAAGGCUCACAAGGAGCUCUGGACAUCCUUUGAAGAUACCUACCGCCAGGAUGUCAUCACUUUGAUAGAAUGGAAGAAACAAGUUCCCCUCAAGGGAGACUUUUACAAUGUGCAGGUGACCUGCAUAUUAAUGGAUCCCAAUGAUGGAGACACAGAUCACUGCAAUCAUCUGAAGUAAGGGCAGAUAUGAAUCUCCUGCUCUGAAACUGCCCCAGCAGUGCUCCACUGUGCCAUCGGACAUGGUCUUUAGGAGCCUGCAAAGAAAUGGGCUUCUCCUUGCAUACCUGAGACUCAGCCCAGGGGUGAAUUGCACAGAAAAGAAGUCCUCUGGCUCUCACAUGGCAAAGAGUUGGGAUGUUCCUCACUCUGACUUGGGGCAGGCAGAGCUUUCCUGAGCAGGAGGUAGCAAAGCAGCAGUGUCUCUGUCACUGUGAAACAGAGGUGGUCUCUGGGGAAAAGCUCAGAAUGAUCCCAGCCUGGUCCUAGCUCAGGACUUAGUCCAGAGCACGGUACUUCUUUGGUCAGCAAGCUGUGAGCACGAAUGGUCCAACACAACCUUCUGACUACAUCAAGCCCCGGUAAGCACCAUCACAGAGGCAUUGGCCUACCUUGAAUUUGCCACUGUCUGUCAGGUAUUUGACCUCUCUGUCAUCUUGUAUCUCCUCACAGAGCUUGAGGGCAGGAAUUUAUGAUGGACAUGUCGUGAGUUCUCCCUGUUCUGACAGCAGACUGGCCUCACUUGAAUCUGAGCUGUGAACUAUUUAUCACAGUGCUGCAAGCUCCCGAACGAGGUCCCUUAAUUUAUGAAGGUCCAGAAGAUAUUAUGCAAUUGACAACACGAACACAAAAAUACUUCUGCACUUUGCUAAGGCUACUAUUAAGCUGCCUGAUGUUUUCAUCAUAAUAUUUACUUCUUUGUAAAUACGUUAAAUUCUCCAAUCCCAAUUCAAAACAGGGAGAUCAGAGAAGGAAAAUAGGGACAUGACAUAGCUGUUUAAAGAUUAUGUAAAAUGUUUUUUUACCAGCAUAAAUAUUUGAUUGUAAAACUCUGCCUGUUGUAUUUACCGAGCAGGGAUGCACAGGGAGAGUGGAGAGCUGCUGCAGCCGGGCACUGCGGUGGAGUCUGCCCAAGUUCCUGCCCAUCCUUUCCCAUAUGGUGCAGGUUGUGGGGAUGGUGGAUGCACGGGCAGUCAUCACUGUCUCGCUGGCUCAAGGCAGCAGUCAGAGUGGGGAGCUCACUCACGGUGCACUGAGUGGCCCUUGGACAGCAGUGGCUGCAGCCACUCCAUUAUCUCCAGGAGUUUCAGGGCAUGGCAGAUCAGAGGUGGUGAAAGAAGAGUUAAAGGCUCAAAGUCCCAACCUGGUCUGAGGCCUUGGAGGUCAGUAGGAAGGGUGAUGCUCUCGAUGGGGUUGCUGGCUCGAACACAGCUCUCAGGUCAAGUGAACUCGGGGGUUGGAACUAGAUGAUCUUUAAGGUCCCUUCCAAUCCAAACUAUUCUAUGAUUCUAUGACUGCACUGGCAGAAGUUCAAGGCACUUGGAGACCUCCUCUGUCCAUGCAGAACAGGGGGAAAGGGCCAGGCGGGACAUCGCCCAGAGACAGAAGUGAUGUCUGUAGGAUGAAAGGUGCCAAGAACUGCCUCUCGACUCAUGAUCACUGGGGGACACCAGGGGCAGAGCACUGCCCGUGGGGGAGGGUCAGCACUGUGUGCCCAGGCAGAUGAAGUUCUUGUCCCCAGGGUCUGUGUGUGGAACUGAUGGGGAGGAGGGAUGGGGACAGGCUUUGCUGACUCCAUGUGGGCAUAACCAAGAGAGAUGUACCCUGAGUGCAGCCACAUAUUUCUGUGCCUCACAGAAUUUGCCACAGCAGGAGAAUUUCUCUUUUCACAGAAUCACAGAAUCACCAGGUUGGAAAGGACCCACUGGAUCAUCGAGUCCAACCAUUCCUAACACUCCCUUAAACCAUGUCCCUAAGCACAUCAUCCACCCAUUCCUUAAACACCUCCAGGGAAGGUGACUCGACCCCCUCCCUGGGCAGCUGUUCCAGUGCCCAAUGACCCUUUCCCUGAAGAAUUUUUUUCUGAUAUCCAGCCUGAACCUCCCCUGGAGGAGCUUCAGGCCAUUCCCCCUUAUCCUGUCUUCAGUCACUUGGGAGAAGAGCCCAGCUCCCUCCUCUCCACAACCUCCUUUCAGGUAGUUGUAGAGAGUAAUAAGGUCUCCCCUCUGCCUCCUCUUCUCCAGGCUAAACAACCCCAGCUCUCUCAGCCGCUCCUCAUAAGACUUGUUCUCCAGCCCCUCACCAGCUUCGUUGCUCUUCUCUGGACACGCUCUGGGGCCUCAACAUCCUUCUUGUGGUGAGGGGCCCAGAACUGAACACAGUACUCAUGGUGCGGUCUCACCAGUGCCGAGUACAGAGGGAGAAUCACCUCCCUGGACCUGCUGGUCACACCGUUUCUGAUCCAAGCCAAGAUGCCAUUGGCCUUCUUGGCCACCUUCAGUAGCUUGGUGGCUGGCUGGAGAUGGUGGAGCAAAGCUAUGGCAGCCGAGAGUCCCCACAUCCCAUCCUUUUCUGGCCCGUGUGCCUUUCCUCACCCUCUGCUCACUGAGUAUUUGCAGAGAGAUACUGGGCAGCACGCAGGUGUCAGGAGGGGCUGGAUAAAUCCCAUUAGUCCAUGGGAGUGGGUCAGUAGCGAGGCAGUGCAGAAGCCAUCAGGCUAACAGACCUGAGGAGGAUGUGCCUGAGCAGGGCAGAGAACUUGGAGAGCUGCAAAGGCUGACCCUGGCCAGCGCAGUGCCCUGGCUUCUGUUCCCUCUGCAGAGGGACUUCGGGCACAUCACGUAUUCUCCUUUCAGCUUCCUUAUCUCUACCCAGCAGUAAUGAGGCUAAGCUCUCCGUAAAGCUCUUGGAAAUCUCCCACCGAGCAGGGCCAGAGAAGAGAUGUGUUGCUAUAAGCCCUGCAGCAGGUCCAAAGCUUGAGGUUUCUCUACCCAGCCCUACCUCUGCUCUAAUAACGCGCGUUCAGCCACGAAUUGAAUAUUUCCAUCCGUUCCCCUCCCUCCUGCCCACUAAACUCUCACCACUCAGCCACUUGUUUGGUGGUUCAGCCCUAAGUUAUCUUGAUCCAGCUGGAGGUGUCCCGGCCCAUGGCAGGGGGUGGAACUGGAUGAGCUUUAAGGUCCCUUCCAACUCAAACCAUUCUAUACUCCUCUGUUUUUUUGGAGGGGGCGUGACAGGCACUAGCAGGCGAUAUGAAGUAAAGCUGGGUCUGAGUUAGUGGCGAGCAGAGCUGAAGGCCCAGAUAUACAUCGGAUGGGCUGGGAGCAUUAUGUAUAUCUGGAAUGCCUUCUGGUCUUUAUUAAAACGAAACCACAGCCAGCCCAAGAAAGCUCAUCGCCCAGGCACGGGGCCAAGUAUAAGUUACUUCUACAAAUAUUUAUUUAACCAUAUCAAUGACAAACUCUUUUGUAUAAAUGUUUUUAUUUAAUCAUAAUUUACCAAUUAUUUUAAAUCAAUUGUUUGCCUGGUUUCUAAACACUAAUCAAGAGGCUUGCAUUAGCAUUACUCAGGCGGAUUAGAUGCAUUAUUUCACUGAAGCUUGGGCUAUUGCUUGUCUGCCUUGGCCAGGGAAGAGGGGGCAGAUGGAUCCCAAAUUUCACUCAAACUGUCGGAUUCCGGGAGGACCUUGCCUGCGGCAUUGCCAGCCUUCCCACUCAGGUGACCUCUGGGCUUAGAUGCAUUCCACAGGCAUGGGGACACAGAUGCUGAUCCCACCUGAUCCUCCCAGGACAGGACUUUCCUCCGAUCCCAUCGUGCAUGUCCUUGCCCUCACAGAGCUGCUGGCCCCAUCACAGAUGUUUUCAUUGCCCUACCUUGACGCUGCUUACCCCUCACACCUGAGCCUGGACCUUUCACCAGUGUAGGAGAGGUUUUCCAGCAUCUCCUCAGCCCAGAGCAUCUGGCAGGAAUACAGGAGCAUGGCCAUGGUGAUCUGGGGUAGAACAGGAGCCUGUGGAUGAUGGCAUUUGUCUCCACUGUCCAGCACCCUGCUUCCAGCCCUCUGAGUUCCUUUAUCUCCUCAGGAGCACCUUGGAAGCCCCCCAGCUCCCAGGUAUCAGUUCCUCCAGCUUCCUCACACACAGACCUUCUCCAGCCCAAUUCUCCCACUUCGGUCCCUAAGAUCAGACAAUGCUUUACAACAGAGAGCUUAGAACUUCUGCAGAGCUCUGCCUCCUCCAAAGCACUGUGAGAUGUGGUGAGGGCACGGUCUCUACCCACCAGAACUGCUGGGUACCCAUCGGUUGCACUGCGGGGACCCUGCACACUGUGGCCCCUCGCUCGCACAGGGCGGCUUUUGGGGAGCAGCUUGACCUGCGCUGCCACGCAGAUCCAAGGCAAGAGCAGGAACCUUUCUUUGCAGUCUGUCUGUAUUGUUUAUUUAUAAGGUUCCAGGCUGCUACUGUGGUGCACCUUGGCCGCCUGCUCCGCAGUGCCUAUUGUAAGCAUCGGGGCUGCAGGGAGUUCUCCCUUCCCACACAUAUCUGUGCAUCACCCACAGCAGGGACUGCACGGUUUACAGCGUGUGAGCUAUCAGCUUCCUGGGAAUACCGAGCGCCCCUGCAGCCCUCCAAGGACAGCUGCCAUUCUGCUGCAAAAGUCACCCCUGCCAGCCUUUCUCCUAAGGUCUUUGAGGCGUCUCCCUUCACUGGUCACUGCUCGAGCAGAACUGGGAGCUCCGUUGCCAUGAAGCUUGGAGGGUUGGUGGAUAAUCCUGAUUGGAGCAGCCUGCCCAGGUCUCCUGCUUCAACCAGGUUAGGUUGCUUGAGCAGGAGAGAGAUUCUCUCAGCGGCAGAGGGAUAAGACAGUGCCAAGUUUGCAAAACACUGAUUUGGAAGUGAAUAACCUGAGCAAAGGCUUUGUUACAGCAAUGCAGCAGAGAUGCAAAAUUCCCAGAAAAGGACUUCCAAGGUAAUAAAACCCAAAUAAACAAAAAGAGAAAUUGGGGCAAGUUUGAUAGAACCAUGGGACUUACCUACUAUGACCUUCAUAGUCCCUUCCAAACUAUUCCAUGAUUCUACUAUUGUUAAAGAUUAUGAAAAUAGCAAUCAAUGCUAGGGAUAAGCUUUUAACGUGUCGGGAUAGGUUUGUUUUGUUCUGAAUGCUGAGGAUAGAGCCCAGGCUAGAGACA